CACGUAGGGUCCGAGCGUUGUCCGGAAUUACUGGGCGUAAAGCGCGCGCAGGCGGCCCGACACAUCGGCGGUGAAAGCCCCCGGCUCAACUGGGGAGGGUCAUUCGAUACUGAUCGACUCGAAGGCAGGAGAGGGUAGUGGAAUUCCACGUGUAGCGGUGAAAUGCGCAGAUAUCAGGAGGAACACCGGUGGCGAAGGCGGGUCUCUGGGCAACAACUGACGCUGAGGAGCGAAAGCGUGGGGAGCGAACAGG
rnacentral:rRNA from 1 species